ensembl:snoRNA
GUGUUUUUCUAAGGUUGACACUGUGCUUUCAGAGGCUAACACAGAAGGGUAAAGUAAGUUUAUAACACCCAGAGAAAAGAUUGUCAAAUUCUUUUUUGGGGGCAGAACCGGGGAU